GCCUCUCCCUGACGCAGCUGGUCCAGCCAUGACCGCGUGGAAGUUGGAAGAAAGGCCUUCGGUUGUUAAACUCUUUUUGCCGGGAAAAAAAGGUGCGGUCCGGAAAUGGACUGUCCUUGACGGUCCCGGGCGAGGAAGCCCCGGCUAACUACGUGCCAGCAGCCGCGGUAAUA
rnacentral:rRNA from 1 species